rnacentral:lncRNA from 1 species
CGUGAAUUUUGGUAGAUAGUCUAUUCCGUAUAAUUGAUUAUAAGUUUUAUAGUGGAUUUGACAUUCCCGCCAAAAUGAUACAGAACAAAGGAAAGCAUGCACAACAAAGAAACUCAAACUUGGGUGAUCUGGUUGGUACGAUCCGGCUCAGAUCACCCCUGUUAGAACAAAGGAGCUGGGAUGUAAUUGUCUUGAGAGUUGCUGAUAGGUCUUGAGAGAAAAAAUGCCUACAAAAUAUGUGUAGUUCCAAAAAGGUAAAUUGCAUUAGUUGCCUUUCUACAGACUUUUGAAUAACUGUCACGGACUACAAACAAAUAGUGUGUGUAGAUGGGGGUCAUUCAUUUCUGUAAAAAAAAAAACAUUUUUCAUGCCGUUUUUCUCUGUUCUUUAUAAAUGUUGUCUGUUUUUUUUCUCUAUUCUUUAUAUUUAAUACCCCCAUUUGUCAGUAUUCUUUUUUUUCUCGAUUUUUUUUCUUGCAGCCCUUCUUUCUAAACAUUUAUCCGAUUAUAAACCCCAUCUGGUCCGUUCAAAUAUAACAGAACAUCACCAAGGCAGUAUCUAGGUAAAGUUGACAGUUGACAAAGAGUAAAGGUUGACAAGUGCGUUAUAAACAAUUAAAAGAUUAUUAUUUUUUAAGUGUGUGCAAUUGAUGAUUUUCAACAUAUUAUUCCUUCUGAUUAAUGGAUUAAAUAAAUAAAAGUGCAAAAUAUAUUUUACAGGUAGAAUAUCAGAUACAUACAUCUACUAUUUAAUAUUGUAUUUUGUUUUUUAUUGCUCGAAUGCAUGUUCA